GGCAGAGGACUAAGAGUGACCGACUCAUGGAUGUGGCUUGGACUGCUGAAGCUGCUCAUACUUUGAGUCCCAGUUUCAUAUUCAUCCCGGCUACCUUGACUGGGGGCACAUGAAUUUCUCACAGGUGACAAUCUCAUCUCAUUCUUGUUCCCUUUAUUUGCUCCCAUAUCUGUGCUAACACUACUUCGGACACUCAUAUUGCCACUGGAGCUAAAUUCUGAAUCGGGAUGCCGAUUAUCAACAGGCCGUAAAACAGACGAUGAUGCCCUGGCCUUGGCUGCAGCCCUCAUGGCCUCACUGGAAUCUAACUUUGCAAGCUUCCAAGCACUAAUACGAACAGAUCUUUUGGGUACCUUUUGCCCUCUUUCUGCAACUCCAGCUGCAUCUGGA
rnacentral:lncRNA from 1 species